rnacentral:rRNA from 1 species
ACGGGAGGCAGCAGUGGGGAAUAUUGGGCAAUGGGCGAAAGCCUGACCCAGCAAUGCCGCGUGAAGGAUGAAGGUCUUCGGAUUGUAAACUUCUUUGAUUAGGGAAGAAUAAAUGACAGUACCUAAAGAACAAGCCACGGCUAACUACGUGCCAGCAGCCGCGGUAAUACGUAGGUGGCAAGCGUUAUCCGGAUUUACUGGGUGUAAAGGGCGUGUAGGCGGCUUUGCAAGUCAGAUGUGAAAUUCCUGAGCUCAACUCGGGCGCUGCAUCUGAAACUGCAAAACUUGAGUGUCGGAGAGGAAAGCGGAAUUCCUAGUGUAGCGGUAAAAUGCGCAGAUAUUAGGAAGAACACCGGUGGCGAAGGCGGCUUUCUGGACGAUAACUGACGCUGAGGCGCGAAAGCGUGGGGAGCAAACAGGAUUAGAUACCCUGGUA